UACGUAGGGUGCAAGCGUUAAUCGGAAUUACUGGGCGUAAAGCGUGCGCAGGCGGUUCUGUAAGCCAGAUGUGAAAUCCCCGGGCUCAACCUGGGAACUGCAUUUGUGACUGCACAGCUGGAGUGCGGCAGAGGGGGAUGGAAUUCCGCGUGUAGCAGUGAAAUGCGUAGAGGUGUGGAGGAACACCGAUGGCGAAGGCAGCCCCCUGGGUCAAGACUGACGCUCAUGCACGAAAGCGUGGGGAGCAAACAGG
rnacentral:rRNA from 1 species